rnacentral:antisense_RNA from 1 species
GUCCUGUGAUGACCUGUGGCGGAAGGUAAACCGAAGGUGACUGCGGUUAACGUCCUCGAUGGGAAUGGCCACCUUCAAGAAUUGAAAAAGAAGUUUAAGCACUGUUAUCAAUAUCAUCCAGCGUAACAGCUUUAUUCAACUGGAGCUAUCAGAGAAAUAUGCAACUGCGAAGUUCUCAUGGGAGAAGUCCUGAGCACACUGCAAGGCAUCCUGGGACCACAGUCUCAAGGGUCACAGAGGAAGGGACUUCGGGGCUGAGACCUGCAGGAAGUGAGGGAACUGCAGGCCUGUCCUCACCCAGGGGAGGUGGAGCCCCCAGACGCUGUGAUAUGAAAUUCCAGAUUAUGGGAGGGAGAGUUUGAAGAAGGAAGAACCACCAAUAGAAAGCGGUCCCCAAAGAGGUAUCGGGGAUGGCACCCAGACAGGAGCACAUGUACCACUGCCCAGAAUGUGCGUUUCACUAGACAAGUGACCACAAAACGCGGAGCACAGAGGACUUUUAGGAUGGUGAAGCUACCCAGUGAGAGACUACAAUGAGAUAAUUGGUCUUUCACAUUCCUCGUGCUGUCACCAAAAAUAACAGAGCAACAGCAGGGUGGAGGAAGAGCACCAGCACGGUGGAGGAAGAGCACCAACGUGGAGAUAAAGAGCACCAACAUGGCGGAGGAAGAGCACCAACAUGGCGGAGGAAGAGCACCAACAUGGCAGAGGAAGAGCACCAACAUGACGGAGAAAGAGCACCAACAUGGCAGAGGAAAAGCACCAACAUGGCGGAGGAAGAACACCAACAUGGCGGAGAAACAGCACCAACAUGGCGGAUGAAGAGCACCAACAUGAAGCUAA